rnacentral:rRNA from 1 species
GACGAGCGCUGGCGGCGUGCCUAACACAUGCAAGUCGAACGGUAAGGCCCUUCGGGGUACACGAGUGGCGAACGGGUGAGUAACACGUGGGUGAUCUGCCCUGCACUUCGGGAUAAGCCUGGGAAACUGGGUCUAAUACCGGAUAGGACCACUGCCUGCAUGGGUGGUGGUGGAAAGCUUUUGCGGUGUGGGAUGGGCCCGCGGCCUAUCAGCUUGUUGGUGGGGUGAUGGCCUACCAAGGCGACGACGGGUAGCCGGCCUGAGAGGGUGACCGGCCACACUGGGACUGAGAUACGGCCCAGACUCCUACGGGAGGCAGCAGUGGGGAAUAUUGCACAAUGGGCGCAAGCCUGAUGCAGCGACGCCGCGUGAGGGAUGACGGCCUUCGGGUUGUAAACCUCUUUCAGCACCGACGAAGCGCAAGUGACGGUAGGUGCAGAAGAAGGACCGGCCAACUACGUGCCAGCCGCCGCCGUAAGAC